rnacentral:tRNA from 5842 species
CGGCACGUAGCGCAGCCUGGUAGCGCACCGUCAUGGGGUGUCGGGGGUCGGAGGUUCAAAUCCUCUCGUGCCGACCA